rnacentral:rRNA from 1 species
GAUGAACGCUGGCGGCGUGCCUAAUACAUGCAAGUCGAGCGAACAGACGAGGAGCUUGCUCCUCUGACGUUAGCGGCGGACGGGUGAGUAACACGUGGAUAACCUACCUAUAAGACUGGGAUAACUUCGGGAAACCGGAGCUAAUACCGGAUAAUAUAUUGAACCGCAUGGUUCAAUAGUGAAAGACGGUUUUGCUGUCACUUAUAGAUGGAUCCGCGCCGCAUUAGCUAGUUGGUAAGGUAACGGCUUACCAAGGCAACGAUGCGUAGCCGACCUGAGAGGGUGAUCGGCCACACUGGAACUGAGACACGGUCCAGACUCCUACGGGAGGCAGCAGUAGGGAAUCUUCCGCAAUGGGCGAAAGCCUGGAGGAGCAACGCCGCGUGAGUGAUGAAGGUCUUCGGAUCGUAAAACUCUGUUAUUAGGGAAGAACAAAUGUGUAAGUAACUAUGCACGUCUUGACGGUACCUAAUCAGAAAGCCACGGCUAACUACGUG